GAUGAGCGCUAGCGGCAGGCCUAAUACAUGCAAGUCGAACGAAGCCUUCGGGCUUAGUGGCGCACGGGUGCGUAACGUGUGGGAAUCUGCCCUUGGGUUCGGAAUAACAGUUAGAAAUGACUGCUAAUACCGGAUGAUGUCUUCGGACCAAAGAUUUAUCGCCCAAGGAUGAGCCCGCGUAGGAUUAGGUAGUUGGUGGGGUAAUGGCCCACCAAGCCGACGAUCCUUAGCUGGUCUGAGAGGAUGAUCAGCCACACUGGGACUGAGACACGGCCCAGACUCCUACGGGAGGCAGCAGUGGGGAAUAUUGGACAAUGGGCGAAAGCCUGAUCCAGCAAUGCCGCGUGAGUGAUGAAGGCCUUAGGGUUGUAAAGCUCUUUCACCAGGGAUGAUAAUGACAGUACCUGGAGAAUAAGCUCCGGCUAACUCCGUGCCAGCCGCCGCGGUAACAC
rnacentral:rRNA from 1 species